ensembl:snRNA U6 U6 spliceosomal RNA
GUGCUUGUUUUGGCAGCACAUACACUAAAAUUGGAACAGUAUAGAGAAAGUUAUCAUGGCCCUUGCGCAGGAUGAUGCACAAAUUCGUGAAGCAUUCCAUGUUAAA